AUGGUCAGCCCUACCGUGUUCUUCGACAUUGCCGUCUACGGCGAGCCCUUGGGCUGCAUCUCCUUCGAGCUGUUUGCAGACAAGGUUCCAAAGACAGCAGAAAAUUUUCGUGCUCUGAGCACUGGAGAGAAAGGAUUUGGUUAUAAGGGUUCCUGCUUUCAUAGAAUUAUUUCAGGGUUUAUGUGUCAGGGUGGUGACUUCACACGCCAUAAUGGCACUGGUGGCAAGUCCAUCUAUGGGGAGAAAUUUGAAGAUGAGAACUUCAUCCUAAAGCAUACAGGUCCUGGCAUCUUGUCCAUGGCAAAUGCUGGACCCAACACAAAUGGUUCCCAGUUUUUCAUCUGCACUGCCAAGACUGAGUGGUUGGAUGGCAAGCAUGUGGUCUUUGGCAAAGUGAAAGAAGGCAUGAAUAUUGUGGAGGCCAUGGAGCGCUUUGGGUCCAGGAAUGGCAAGACCAGCAAGAAGAUCACCAUUGCUGACUGUGGACAACUCUAA